rnacentral:lncRNA from 1 species
UUAGUAUAUAGUAAUAGAUAAUAGAUAUAGAAUGUAGCUACUAUACUAUUUAUGGUACGGAGCUUCAGUACUGUAGUCUUGUUUUUUAUUUUAAGGUAUUCAAAUCAAUGAUUCACACUGUCAAAUAUAAUCUAGGAUAUAUAAAAUAUUUAAGAAUAAAAUUUUAAUUUUUUCAACAUUAUUUAGUAAGUAAUUAAAUCAUGUCAAAAUGAACGGUGAAAAUUGAACAAUUUCUAAGAUUUGAAGAUAAAAUUUUUGAAUUCAAGAUCAAGAAUACUGAUCUUGAUCUAGACAGUUUAAAUCGUUUUCUAUUAAAAUUUGAAUAAAUUUAUAUUCUUCUAUACUGUUAAACUUCAAACUCGCUAUAGUAGCUAUGUGUUGAAAAUUGACAAAUUUGAAAAAAUUUGAUCAUAAAUAAAUUAUGUGGAAAAAACAUAAAAUUUUAUCUCUAAAAAUUUUAAAUAUUCUAGAUUAGUUUUAAUGGUGUGAAUCGUUGAUUUAGAUAUUCUAAGAUAAAAAAAUAAGACUGUAGUAUCAGAGUUUUGAUAUUAUAAGUAGUAUUGGGAGCCUAGCUUUAUAUAUAUAGAGAAAAAGAGAGAGUUGAGUUAGAAUACCUCUAUAAGCACCAACCCAUUGGUGCUUUUAGGUUCUUAGCCUUUAGAUGGAGGUGUUGUAGGACUAGAAUGAUAGUAGUCCAUUUGGGUUGAGUGUGAUAGGUGAAAUAGAAUUUGAUUUAAAGACUAUUAAGGAGUCAAGGAGUGGAUCUAAGAGCUAGAAAUCUAAGGCUGCGUUUGGUUCGGAUAUAAGUAAAAACUGCUUAUUCUAGAGAUAAAUACAAGUUCAGAUGUAAACAGAAACUAAACCAAUUUUGUUUUUGGAUGAAAAUUGGAUUAUUUUUGGGAAUAAGGUAAAUAGUACUUAGAUAGUUAUAUUAGAACAAGAGGAAUAAGAAUUAUAACUCUAAAUUAAAUUUAUUAACUAUAAAUAUUGUAUAAGAUAAUAAAAAUAUAUUAAUAAAUUAAUUAAAUAUAAAAAUAAUUUAACUUUUUAUAGUUAAUAAAUUAUUUUAAUUAGAUAAUUAGUACAAAAUUAAUUAGAUUAAUAAAAAUAUUAAUGCUUGAUCAAUAUAAAUAUUAGUUUAUGGAUAAACAUAUUAAAUUAUAAAUAAUUAAUCAGUUAAUUAAUUAUAAAUAAUAAAUUAAUUAAUUACUUUAUUAUUUAAGCAAUGGAUAAUGAUUUAAAUAUAUUAAUUAAUAAUUUAAUAUUAUAAUUAAAAUUAAAUUUAGAUUUUAAUUAACCUUCUUACCACUUGGGAACAAGUUUGUUCCGGAGAAAAAGAUGGAACAGCAAUUCUAAACUUAUACCAAAUUAUACCAACUUAUUUGAAGGGCCCGAGAACUACUGUUCUCGGGUACAAGAGUUUUUGUUUAGAAACAAAUGAGGGAACAAGAGCUUAUUCCUCCUUGUUCCCGAACCAAAUACUUUCUAAAAGCACCAAUAAAUUCGUGCUUUUAGAUAUAUUCUAACUCAACACACUCUCUCUCUCUCUCUCUCACUGGUCCCUGAUGAUUGAGUGGUUUUUAUUAGAUUGUAAUAUUUAAUUUAAUAAUUAAAAAUUAUUAGAAAAAUUGAUACAAAGACUAAAAAUUUAAUAGUAAAAAAAACAAAUAUUAUUAAUAGUAGGGGAAACUUCAAAUACCCCUCGUGGUUUCGCACUUUCUCACUUUAGUACCCUGUGGUUUAAAAUGUAUCAAGUUAGUACACAGUGGUUUCGCACUUUCUCACUUUAGUACCCUUUGGUUUCAAGUGUAUCAAGUUAGUAUCCUGUGGUUUCGCACUUUUUCACUUCAGUACCCUGUGGUUUAAUAUUUUGUUAAAUUAUAUACUCCGAAAUGGAUAAUAAAAAGAGAAAAUUGAAACCACAGGGUACUAACUUGAUAUAAAAAUAAAAUUACGGGAUACUAACUUGAUACACUUGAAACCACAGGGCACUAACUUGAUAUAAAAAUGAAAUCACGGGAUACUAACUUGAUACACUUGAAACCACAGGGCACUAAAGCGAGAAAGUGUGAAACCACAUGUACUAACUUGAUACACUUUAAACCACAUGGUACUAAAGUUAUAAAAAUACGAAACCACGAGAGGUAUUUGAAGUUUCCCCUUAAUAGCAUUCUAUCCAACUCUAUUAUAUAUAUAUAUAUAUAUAUACACCGACCACUCCUAGAGCAAGUGGCAAAGGACUUGAUUGUUGGUACUUGAGAUCCAAGUUCGAAUCUUAAUUGAUUUAUAUUUUCAACUAAUCUAAAUAAAAUAAACGAGGCGGACAGUGUUUAUAUAUAUAUAUAUA